rnacentral:rRNA from 1 species
UACGUAGGCAGCGAGCGUUGUUCGGAGUUACUGGGCGUAAAGGGUGUGUAGGCGGUUUUCUAAGUUUGGAUGUGAAAUCUCCCGGCUCAACCGGGAGGGUGCGCCGAAAACUGGGAGACUAGAGUGCGGGAUGGGAGAGUAGAAUUCCUGGUGUAGCGGUGAAAUGCGUAGAUAUCAGGAGGAACACCGAUGGCGAAGGCAGGUCUCUGGGCUGUAACUGACGCUGAGGAGCGAAAGCGUGGGGAGCGAACAGG